UACGAAGGGAGCUAGCGUUGCUCGGAAUGACUGGGCGUAAAGGGCGCGUAGGCGGCUUAUACAGUCAGGCGUGAAAUUCCUGGGCUCAACCUGGGGACUGCGUCUGAUACGUAUGGGCUUGAGUGUGAAAGAGGGUCGUGGAAUUUCCAGUGUAGAGGUGAAAUUCGUAGAUAUUGGAAAGAACACCGGUGGCGAAGGCGGCGACCUGGUUCAUUACUGACGCUGAGGCGCGAAAGCGUGGGGAGCAAACAGGGAUUAGAUACCCUGGUAGUCCACGCUGUAAACGAUGUGUGCUGGAUGUUGGGGUGCUUAGCACUUCAGUGUCGUAGCUAACGCGGUAAGCACACCGCCUGGGGAGUACGGCCGCAAGGUUGAAACUCA
rnacentral:rRNA from 1 species